rnacentral:RNase_P_RNA from 1 species
AAGGUACAGUAGAUAAUAGCUUGAGUUGAAACUCAAGAGGAAAGUCCGGGCUUCAGUGAAGUAUGUUUCCAUUUAAAUGAUGGCUAGCGAAAGCUAAGGGAUAGUGCAACAGAGAUUAGACUACCUAUAGUUUACUAUAGGAAAAGGUGAAAUACAAGGGUAAGAACCUUGGAGAGUUUUGAGUAAUCAUUACAGAUAUGUAAACCCAAACAGAAGCAAGAGAACACGGUAAAAGCUUCACAUCUUUCGUUCUCGCAUGAUUUUUAAAGUAAUUUAAAAACUAGAUAAAUUAUUAUCCAAGACAAAACGCGGCUUAACGCUGUGCCUUUUUC